ACAGGGCAUCAGACGGCAUCUCCUUAGAGGUUUUGGAGCUGAAAAGCAGCUGUUAAGAAGCCUAGGCCCAGAGUUGUCCCAGCAAACCGUAGGAUGAAACCACAUUGCAGAGUGCCAGAACCCUCCACAGAGCAGCAUUUUUCUUCGCUAGACAGCUCUGAUCUUCACCUGUCCUGCCCUCCUGAGAUGAUGACCACGUGCCCGUGCUAACGCUGAACGGGGAAGUUCUAUAGGGAAGCACUAAAACCGUGGAGAUCUCUGUGCCUCUGCACUGGAAAUGAACAGUUGGGAACAAUUCUGCUCCCUCUUGCCUCUGCAAAGCUUAUGUGGCAGGCACAGCAGUGAAUCUGGGAGAGAGCACUUUGACACCACGUAUCCUUUACCCUCUUUAAAUAAUGGAUGUUUGGGAGACUUGGUUCGGUUGCUAGCUCUCCUGCUAAGUCACAUACCAUCUGUGAUUCCAGAUAUAAAUGGGCCUAGCAACGUUUUGUUUUAUCUGUUCUGCAAAACAGGAGGUGAAGAUUGAUGAAUACUUGCAAGCUGAUCACACAGCUUAUGAAAUGUGCUGGGUGCAUCCAGAUAUAGAUGGUUAGAAAGAGGGGCCUGUCUGUGGAUGACAGGAUGCCUGUGGACCUCCCAAAUUCCUGCCUAUCCGACAGGAAAGCACAUAUCUGGGAACAUCACCAGGCAACGUAUAGGCAGAAGAGAACUAAAAAAAAACAAAAACAAAAACCACACGCUAAAACUGCUAGUUCAAAUUAGAAGGAGAUAAAUUCUAACCCUUCAUAUGUGAUGUAGGCUAUUACUUCUCAGUACUUAAAGAAAUAAAAAUUACACUGUACUGAAAUAUAGACAGUAACUUCGGAUCUCCUUAAGAAUAUUCUUCUGCAGUUACUCACCUUUCUUACAGUUUUUCAAACACUUUGGAUGCUACAAGGAAAAUGCUGUUUAUCACCUCAAAUUUCCACAACUGGGUCUGGAAGCUAAUUAGUAAAAUAGACUGUACCAUAUGCUUCCUUGGUAUGUUCUCAUGCUAUAACUAUUUAUAUUUUAAGUUGUUUUUGUCUUUCUAAAAUUGCUAUUGCUUCUAAAAUGGCUUGAUUCUAUCUAUUGUUUUAUUGUGAAGUCAUAUUCCUCUCCUUAUGUAUCUGCAUCUUUUCUUGGCAUAAAAAUUACCUGAGAGGAAGGAAACAUAAAAACAAACCUUAAUCCUUGUCAUUCUUUCUGCACAAAUGUCUUUGUUUUAUAUUCCUGGGGCAACUAUUUCUGGAAAACGUUUCAGAGCUUGCAGGUAAGAAAGCAAGGAGCCAUUCACUUAAAAACAAAAAUGGGGAGAUGAACUCUGCAUGUAGAGGAAGCUGGGCAGUCUUGACAAGUUUUAGGGCAGGACAAGCUGCCACGUUGGGGAGUGUUUUCCAGAUCCAAGAGUGGCUGAGCUCAGCGCAGGUUCCAUGGUAGAUACUCUCCCUAAUAGUCUGUUUAAGUUUUCCAUUAUUUGUUUUAAUGUUAUUAUUCCUGCUAUACUCUAAAUAACUCUCCUUCCCUGCUGUUUCAU